rnacentral:rRNA from 1 species
GACGAACGCUGGCGGCGUGCCUAACACAUGCAAGUCGAACGGAACUGUUUUGAAAGAUUUCUUCGGAAUGAAUUUGAUUUAGUUUAGUGGCGGACGGGUGAGUAACGCGUGAGUAACCUGCCUUCAAGAGGGGAAUAACAUUCUGAAAAGAAUGCUAAUACCGCAUGACAUAUCGGAACCACAUGGUUUUGAUAUCAAAGAUUUUAUCGCUUGAAGAUGGACUCGCGUCCGAUUAGUUAGUUGGUGAGGUGACGGCUCACCAAGACCGCGAUCGGUAGCCGGACUGAGAGGUUGAACGGCCACAUUGGGACUGAGACACGGCCCAGACUCCUACGGGAGGCAGCAGUGGGGGAUAUUGCGCAAUGGGGGCAACCCUGACGCAGCAACGCCGCGUGAAGGAUGAAGGUUUUCGGAUUGUAAACUUCUUUUAUUAAGGACGAAAAAUGACGGUACUUAAUGAAUAAGCUCCGGCUAACUACGUG